AAAAAAAAAAAAAAAAAAAAGAAAGGCAUCCUUUGCCUUCUUUUUUUUUCUUUUCUCUUUCUUUUCUUCUCUAUCUUGAGGAGGCCUGGGAAAUGGGGGGGUUGGUAGGUAGUGUAGUGCUGCAUCAACAAAAAUG
rnacentral:ribozyme from 1 species